rnacentral:rRNA from 1 species
CGAGCGGCGAACGGGUGAGUAACACGUGAGCAACCUACCCUCAACUUCGGGAUAAGCCUCGGAAACGGGGUCUAAUACCGGAUAUCACCAGCUUCCUCAUGGUUGUUGGUUGAAAGUUCUGGCGGUUGGGGAUGGGCUCGCGGCCUAUCAGCUUGUUGGUGGGGUAAUGGCCUACCAAGGCGUCGACGGGUAGCCGGCCUGAGAGGGCGACCGGCCACACUGGGACUGAGACACGGCCCAGACUCCUACGGGAGGCAGCAGUGGGGAAUAUUGCGCAAUGGACGAAAGUCUGACGCAGCAACGCCGCGUGAGGGAUGACGGCCUUCGGGUUGUAAACCUCUUUCAGCAGGGACGAAGCGAGAGUGACGGUACCUGCAGAAGAAGGACCGGCCAACUACGUGCCAGCAGCCGCGGUAAUACGUAGGGUCCGAGCGUUGUCCGGAAUUAUUGGGCGUAAAGGGCUCGUAGGCGGUUCGUCACGUCGGGAGUGAAAACUCGGAGCUCAACUCCGAGCCUGCUUCCGAUACGGGCAGACUAGAGGUAGGCAGGGGAGAGCGGAACUCCUGGUGUAGCGGUGGAAUGCGCAGAUAUCAGGAAGAACACCGGUGGCGAAGGCGGCUCUCUGGGCCUUACCUGACGCUGAGGAGCGAAAGCGUGGGUAGCGAACAGGAUUAGAUACCCUGGUAGUCCACGCCGUAAACGUUGGGCGCUAGGUGUGGGGGACAUUCCACGUCCUCCGUGCCGCAGCUAACGCAUUAAGCGCCCCGCCUGGGGAGUACGGCCGCAAGGCUAAAACUCAAAGGAAUUGACGGGGGCCCGCACAAGCGGCGGAGCAUGCGGAUUAAUUCGAUGCAACGCGAAGAACCUUACCUGGGUUUGACAUAUAGGGAAAUCCUCCAGAGAUGGGGGGUCCGUAAGGGUCCUAUACAGGUGGUGCAUGGCUGUCGUCAGCUCGUGUCGUGAGAUGUUGGGUUAAGUCCCGCAACGAGCGCAACCCUCGUCCUAUGUUGCCAGCACGUUAUGGUGGGGACUCAUAGGAGACUGCCGGGGUCAACUCGGAGGAAGGUGGGGAUGACGUCAAGUCAUCAUGCCCCUUAUGUCCAGGGCUUCACGCAUGCUACAAUGGCCGGUACAAAGGGCUGCGAAACCGUAAGGUGGAGCGAAUCCCAAAAAGCCGGUCUCAGUUCGGAUUGGGGUCUGCAACUCGACCCCAUGAAGUCGGAGUCGCUAGUAAUCGCAGAUCAGCAACGCUGCGGUGAAUACGUUCCCGGGCCUUGUACACACCGCCCGUCACGUCAUGAAAGUCGGCAACACC